CGUGCAAAACAGUAUUGUAUCGUAUUUGCAAUAACAGUGAGCUAACAAUCUUUGCACCCCCUUACUGCAACAUAGUAACAUGAAGUGUAUCUAUCAUACAUUACAGCACUGUAUCUCUGUCCUCCCUGGUAGAUUUUUGUUUUACAUGAAAAAUAUAAAAAAAUAUAACAAGGCUAAGACCGCCAAACAAACAUUUCUUUUGUCAAUAGAAUAUGCCCCAUCCAUUCCCCUGCGAUUAUGCACGGGCCCCAUAUG